CCCUCAGCCUGAAGCCCCCUGUUUAUGCUUCAGACAGAUACAUCAUAGGCAGCAGCAGUCCAAGCGUCACCUGCAUCACCCCACCAAUGUGCUUCAGACUCAACUCAGAAUGAUCACCCCUACAAGGGUUGUUUGCUCUGCUAAAGGAGCCAGAGGAAAG
rnacentral:sRNA from 1 species